ensembl:lncRNA
GUGUGUAUUGGGGGGGGUCUAAGUAAAUGAGGCAGCAGUGGCGACAUUGGGAUUGGUCGUCAUCUCGGUUUUUCAUUUCCAACCGGAAUUGUCAUUCUUCAUUGUCUUUCUUCGUCUCUCGCAGGACCGUCUUUCUGUGCUUAUGUGACCCGGCAAGAUAACCACAUCCAACACUUCAGUAAGGAACCGGUUGUGUAAGAAGAUUGAGUUUCAUUUUGCUGGGCCAUUGUGUAGCCCUGAAAGGACUCCAUGGAGCUGAAAUAAUCUCUAUCUGUCCUGAAUCCUUCUCUGCUCCCUGUCUGAGGUCAAACCAUGUGUGACAGAGCCAAGAACUAUGAAGGUCGUAGAUAGUAGAUAGUAGGUCGUAGAUAGUAGAUAGUAGGUAGUAGGUAAUAGAUAGUAGGUAGUAGAUAGUAAAUAGUAGAUAGUAGAUAGUAGGUAGUAGGUAGUAGGUAGUAGAUAGUAGAUAGUAGGUAAUAGAUAGUAGGUAGUAGAUAGUAAAUAGUAGAUAGUAGAUAGUAGGUAGUAGGUAGUAGGUAGUAGAUAGUAGAUAGUAGAUAGUAGAUAGUAGAUAGUAGAUAGUAGGUAGUAGGUAGUAGAUAGUAGAUAGUAAAUAGUAGAUAGUAGGUAGUAGGUAGUAGAUAGUAGGUAGUAGAUAGUAGAUAGUAGGUAGUAGGUAGCAGGUAGUAUCUACUACCUACUAUCCAGUUGUGUGGAUUGCGUCAUCUGUUGAUCUGUUGGGACGGUUUGCAAAUUGAAGUGGGUCUAGGGUAUCCGGGAGGAAGCUGUUGAUGUGAGCCAUGGCCAGCCUUUCAAAGCACUUCAUGGCUACCAAAGUGAGGGCUACGGGUGGUUUAGGCAGGUUACCUUCGCUUCCUUGGGCACAGGGACUAUGGUGGUCUGCUUGAAACAUGUAGGUAAUAUAGACUCGGGCAGGGACAGGUUGAAAAUGUCAGUGAAGACACUUGCCAGUUGGUCAGCACAUGCUUUGAGUACACGUCCUAGUGAUCGGUCUGGACCCACAGCUUUGAAUGUUGACCUGUUUAAAGGUCUUGCUCACAUCGGCUUCAGAGAGCGUUAUCACACAGUCGUCC